GCAGCUAAUGCGUCAGCCUUCAGUCUGCUGCUGAAAAACUCGUUUUAACGGCGUUAGUAACGGAGGCUUCCUCAGCACCUCCUCCUUUUAAACGCCUUUCAGCGUUUUCAUUACAUGAAAGUAGAUCACGUUAAACCUAAAGUGUUCUUGUAUAGUGUCAGUGUGGUCUGUUGUUCAUUAAUGUAAGUCAUGGAAUUUAAAUUGUGUCGACUGGACUCAGUUUUCAACUCAUGCAAGUUUAGAUAAUAAACAGCGUCUAUUUUUCAAAGUCACGCUAUUCAAAAAUUGGACAACUUCAGGAUCAACUUUGAAGUUAUCUGGAUAAGUCAAAAAUGCUGUUUCAUAGGCCUCUAUACUGUGAAGAAAGGCUUUGAGCUUAUGUGGGUAACUUCAGGGUUGACCCUGGGUUUUACUUUACAAUCAUUGUACAUUUUCUAUACACACGAAGAAACAGUGAUAUUUCUAUAUGAUUCUUUAAUGUCAUUUCACUGUACUUACGGAGAGAACUUUGUACCCACACUGAGGCUACUACUGGCUACCCUCACAUAUUCAGUUUUUUCACCAAAUACAUCGUCUAGUAAACGACUUCAUUGUGUAUGCCAAAUUUUGCUAGUUUUGGUCAUGAGUUAUUUAAAAAUGAAUUUGUUCUGUCACGCACAAAGAAAUUACUUGAUCAACAACUUAUAAACAAAGUAACCUUGAGAGCUUAAGUACAACCUGAUAUCAGAUUGCACGCCUAACUUGACCUUUCAUACAACUCAUAACUUGGACGACGCGACAGCUCCCCAAAAAUGAAGCCAAAACGUUUCUAUCGCCCCCUGGUGUCUGGCUGCAGUAUAGGUCAUAAAUCCCACCUCCUCCAUGUUAGCGGAUGGGACUGGGGAGCAGACUGAACCAGGACUGCAAACCUGCUCCAUCUUCUCAUCUCUGGAGAUUUCCAUUUACAAAGCACCAACAACUCAAAGGAGCUCCCCUCAGAUUCAGACCUCAGCACCACCCAGUGAAAGCAGACAGAUCAUCCAACAUGUUCACGUUAACUCCAAAAUUAACUAAUGAAAACAGUACAAAGGUUAAAGUACCACAUGUGCUGUCAGUGAAAGCUGCAGUUGUUUUAUUGAUAAAGUUAAAGACAAAAAGUCAAAAGGAUUAAUCACCCCUGUAACUGUGUCACUAUAUAUCAGCAGUUUGGUGUUUCAGAAAGCUGCUGAUCUGAGACCUGCAGAGGUUCUGUUUUAAACACUGAAUGCACUCAGCCACAUGAAGAGCACAUGAGAUUUUCUCUGACACAAUUAAAUAAA